rfam:Enhydrobacter aerosaccus strain CGMCC9176 contig_2, whole genome shotgun sequence.
AAACUGAAGAGUUUGAUCAUGGCUCAGAUUGAACGCUGGCGGCAGGCUUAACACAUGCAAGUCGAACGAUGACUAACUAGCUUGCUAGUUAUGAUUAGUGGCGGACGGGUGAGUAACAUUUAGGAAUCUGCCUAGUAGUGGGGGAUAGCUCGGGGAAACUCGAAUUAAUACCGCAUACGACCUACGGGUGAAAGGGGGCGCAAGCUCUUGCUAUUAGAUGAGCCUAAAUCAGAUUAGCUAGUUGGUGGGGUAAAGGCCUACCAAGGCGACGAUCUGUAACUGGUCUGAGAGGAUGAUCAGUCACACCGGAACUGAGACACGGUCCGGACUCCUACGGGAGGCAGCAGUGGGGAAUAUUGGACAAUGGGGGCAACCCUGAUCCAGCCAUGCCGCGUGUGUGAAGAAGGCCUUUUGGUUGUAAAGCACUUUAAGCAGGGAGGAGAGGCUAAUGGUUAAUACCCAUUAGAUUAGACGUUACCUGCAGAAUAAGCACCGGCUAACUCUGUGCCAGCAGCCGCGGUAAUACAGAGGGUGCGAGCGUUAAUCGGAAUUACUGGGCGUAAAGCGAGUGUAGGUGGCUCAUUAAGUCACAUGUGAAAUCCCCGGGCUUAACCUGGGAACUGCAUGUGAUACUGGUGGUGCUAGAAUAUGUGAGAGGGAAGUAGAAUUCCAGGUGUAGCGGUGAAAUGCGUAGAGAUCUGGAGGAAUACCGAUGGCGAAGGCAGCUUCCUGGCAUAAUAUUGACACUGAGAUUCGAAAGCGUGGGUAGCAAACAGGAUUAGAUACCCUGGUAGUCCACGCCGUAAACGAUGUCUACUAGCCGUUGGGGUCCUUGAGACUUUAGUGGCGCAGUUAACGCGAUAAGUAGACCGCCUGGGGAGUACGGCCGCAAGGUUAAAACUCAAAUGAAUUGACGGGGGCCCGCACAAGCGGUGGAGCAUGUGGUUUAAUUCGAUGCAACGCGAAGAACCUUACCUGGUCUUGACAUAGUGAGAAUCCUGCAGAGAUGCGGGAGUGCCUUCGGGAAUUCACAUACAGGUGCUGCAUGGCUGUCGUCAGCUCGUGUCGUGAGAUGUUGGGUUAAGUCCCGCAACGAGCGCAACCCUUUUCCUUAUUUGCCAGCGGGUUAAGCCGGGAACUUUAAGGAUACUGCCAGUGACAAACUGGAGGAAGGCGGGGACGACGUCAAGUCAUCAUGGCCCUUACGACCAGGGCUACACACGUGCUACAAUGGUAGGUACAGAGGGUUGCUACACAGCGAUGUGAUGCUAAUCUCAAAAAGCCUAUCGUAGUCCGGAUUGGAGUCUGCAACUCGACUCCAUGAAGUCGGAAUCGCUAGUAAUCGCAGAUCAGAAUGCUGCGGUGAAUACGUUCCCGGGCCUUGUACACACCGCCCGUCACACCAUGGGAGUCUAUUGCACCAGAAGUAGGUAGCCUAACGAAAGAGGGCGCUUACCACGGUGUGGUCGAUGACUGGGGUGAAGUCGUAACAAGGUAGCCGUAGGGGAACCUGCGGCUGGAUCACCUCCUUA